GCCUGGCUGGCUUAGCUGGUAGAGCAUGUGACUCUUGAUCUUAGGGUUGCGAGUUCGAGCCCCAUGUUGGGUG
rnacentral:tRNA from 1 species